GGGGUGGUGGCGCAGUUGGUUAGCGCGUCGGUCUCAUAAUCCGGAGGUCGAGAAUUCGAGCCUCUCUCACCCCA
rnacentral:tRNA from 1 species